rnacentral:rRNA from 1 species
ACAAUGAAGAGUUUGAUCCUGGCUCAGGAUGAACGCUAGCGGCAGGCCUAACACAUGCAAGUCGAGGGGCAUCGGGUGUAGCAAUACAUGCC